AUGAGCAAGAGAAAAUGGCCAGGGAAUCCCUGUUGCUCUUUCUGCAAACAGGUGGAAACGGUGCAACAUCUGUUCUUUACUUGUCCCGUGGCCAGAAUUAUCUGGCGAUCUAUUGGAGUAGUUCUUGGCACUGAUAGAUGCCCGUCGAAUUACUGGCAAUACUUCGUAUGGUGCCACAAAUUUCUUCCUGGGAAGCAAACGUUUUAUACAGUGGGCUUAGCGGCCACAUGUUGGGCCAUUUGGUUGGCGCGCAAUCGAGCUACUUUUAAAAAGAAACAAAUCAAGACUCCUUUUGAGAUUGUGUUUUCUCUGUGCUCUUUUCUACUUUACUGGACAGGGCUACAGCAAGGAGAGGACGCCAAGGAGCUGCGCACUGGAGCAGAGAUGAUCAGGGAUAGCACAAUGCAGUUAAUGAAGAUGUGUGGUGCUGUCAAGCAACCAAUCCAAGGUGCUUGA
rnacentral:rRNA from 1 species